rnacentral:rRNA from 1 species
UACAGAGGGUGCGAGCGUUGUCCGGAAUCACUGGGCGUAAAGGGCGCGUAGGUGGCGACCCAAGUCGAUGGUGAAAGCUCGCCGCUCAACGGCGAGUCGGCCACCGAUACUGGGUUGCUGGAGCACUGUAGAGGCAGAUGGAAUUCCGGGUGUAGCGGUGGAAUGCGUAGAGGAUCCGGAAGAACACCGGUGGCGAAGGCGGUCUGCUGGGCAGUUGCUGACACUGAGGCGCGACAGCGUGGGGAGCAAACAGG